AACACAGCAGUAAAGGAGGCUGGUUACCUCACACAGCAGUAAUGGAGGUCCAUUACUGCUGUGUGAGGUAACCAGCCUCCUUUACUGCUGUGUU